UAAGGGUAUCCUUAGCUCGGUCAAGUUUGUAAAGUGUGUGUGUGUUUUCUGGGUGUACCUGUGAAAGUAUUUCUGAAAGAAAUUAACAUUUGAAUUGGUAGGCCGAGUAAAUAAGAUCCACCAUCACCAAUGAAGGUGGGUAUCAUCCAAUCCAUUGGGGGCUUGAAUAGAAGGAAAUGGGGAUAGGGAAAUUCACUUUCUGCUUAAGUUAGGACAUAUGUUGUCUCAACCUUGGACUCCUG
rnacentral:lncRNA from 1 species